UAUCUCCUACGGGGGGCAGCAGUAGGGAAUUUUCGUCAAUGGGCGCAAGCCUGAACCAGCCAAGUCGCGUGAGGGAAGACGGUCCUAUGGAUUGUAAACCUCUUUAGGCGGGGAGCAAUGCCGGGCACGUGUGCCCGGAGGGAGAGUACCCGCAGAAUAAGCAUCGGCUAACUCCGUGCCAGCAGCCGCGGUAAUACGGAGGAUGCGAGCGUUAUCCGGCUUUAUUGGGUUUAAAGGGUGCGUAGGCGGAUUUUUAAUUCAGCGGUACAAUGUCCGGGCUCAACCCGGGCCGGCCGUUGAACCUG
rnacentral:rRNA from 1 species